rnacentral:rRNA from 1 species
GGUUGGAAGUAAGAAUCGUAACAAGGUCUCCGUUGGUGAACCAGCGGAGGGAUCAUUACCGAGUUUACAACUCCCAAACCCAUGUGAACAUACCUAUUGUUGCUUCGGCGGGAUUGCCCCGGGCGCCUCGUGUGCCCCGGAUCAGGCGCCCGCCUAGGAAACUUAACUCUUGUUUUAUUUUGGAAUCUUCUGAGUAGUUUUUACAAAUAAAUAAAAACUUUCAACAACGGAUCUCUUGGUUCUGGCAUCGAUGAAGAACGCAGCGAAAUGCGAUAAGUAAUGUGAAUUGCAGAAUUCAGUGAAUCAUCGAAUCUUUGAACGCACAUUGCGCCCCCCAGUAUUCUGGCGGGCAUGCCUGUUUGAGCGUCAUUUCAACCCUCAUGCCCCUAGGGCGUGGUGUUGGGGAUCGGCCAAAGCCCGCGAGGGACGGCCGGCCCCUAAAUCUAGUGGCGGACCCGUCGUGGCCUCCUCUGCGAAGUAGUGAUAUUCCGCAUCGGAGAGCGACGAGCCCCUGCCGUUAAACCCCCAACUUUCCAAGGUUGACCUCAGAUCAGGUAGGAAUACCCGCUGAACUUAAGCAUAUCAAUAAGCGGAGGAAAAGAAACCAACAGGGAUUGCCCUAGUAACGGCGAGUGAAGCGGCAACAGCUCAAAUUUGAAAUCUGGCGCAAGCCCGAGUUGUAAUUUGUAGAGGAUGUUUCUGGCGACGUGCCUUCCGAGUUCCCUGGAACGGGACGCCAU